rnacentral:lncRNA from 1 species
GCGAUGGUUGUUUUUUUGCUAAUGCACGAUGGUUUAUCAUGCAAUGGACCAUAGGUUAGGGGAUUAAAGUGCAUGGACUUAGAAAAAAUAGUCUCUUUUUUUUGUGUAAAAGCUAGAAUAUACAUAUGCUAAGGUAUAACAUAUGUGAUAGGCUUGGUUAUAAUUUACCGACAGGCUUAAGUGAUUGUUUAUAAAUGUUAAAGACCAACCACGUAAUA